AUCGAGGGACAUUUAUAUAACGAAAAAAGUGAAUGGUGUGAAAGGGUUAAUGGAUAGAUGGUCUUGGGAUUUGAACAAAAGGCUCUCUCUCCCUCGCGCAGUAGACAAAUAGGCAUGCAUGCUGAGAUGACGUCACCUUAAGCCGAAAGGUGAUGAGGUAAAAGAAACGACAGCCAACGGCUUUGGGUGGACCCGUGCA